CGGCCCACAGAGGCAGGUGGAGGGGGAGAGGCAAACAAGGGGGCCCCAUAACAGUAGAGACUGCUAUGGAAUGAGGAAUAUCAAGGGAAAGAAACCAGGAUAACUCAUCAGGCUCAUCCUCCACUGACUACAGAGAAACUGAGGCCCAAAGAAAAGAAAAACCUGUUCAAAGGAAGAAUCCCACUGGAAAGGCUCGUGGAGAGGGAGAGCAGCAAGGGGAGAAGGGAGUGUGGACUGAAGAGCAAAAACAGAUUCUGCUUUUCCUGCCUUUGCUGCAGCACAGGGUGCAAGAAAACACUGGGAGCUGGAAGACUCACAACCAAACCCUCAUCAUCAGUUAAGAAACUGAACUCCUAAAUGGGGAAGGGGCCUACCCAAGGUUGAGUGGGAGAAACUAAGGAGGGAAACACCCGAGGCCAUGUAGCACAGAACAGCAGCCUGGCCAGGCCUGGAACCCUGAAGCAGUCUGAGAAGUGAUCCACAGCAGCUUGCUCUCCAAGAGAGCAAAGGUCUCCUCUUCAGGAUGGGAUGCACCCCUGCGAAUUGGCCUGCGUCUUGUCAGCAAAGCCACCAGCUGUUCACUCACCCGAUAAAUAUUUG